rnacentral:rRNA from 1 species
GGCGAACGCUGGCGGCGUGCUUAACACAUGCCAGUCGAGCGGUAAGGCCUUUCGGGGUCCACGAGCGGCGAACGGGUGAGUAACACGUGGGUGAUCUGCCCUGCACUUCGGGAUAAGCCUGGGAAACUGGGUCUAAUACCGGAUAUGACCUCCUAUCGCAUGGUGGGUGGUGGAAAGAUUUAUCGGUGCAGGAUGGGCCCGCGGCCUAUCAGCUAGUUGGUGGGGUAAUGGCCUACCAAGGCGACGACUGGUAGCCGACCUGAGAGGGUGAACGGCCACAAUGGGACUGAGACACGGCCCAGACUCCUACGGGAGGCAGCAGUGGGGAAUAUUGCACAACGGGCGCAAGCCUGAUGCAGCGACGCCGCGUGAGGGAUGACGGCCUUCGGGUUGUAAACCUCUUUCAGCAGGGACGAAGCGCAAGUGACGGUACCUGCAGAAGAAGCACCGGCUAACUACGUG